CCUACGGGCGGCAGCAGUGAGGAAUAUUGGUCAAUGGUCGGGAGACUGAACCAGCCAAGCCGCGUGAGGGAUGAAGGUACAGAGUAUCGUAAACCUCUUUUGUCAGGGAACAAAGGCGGGGACGUGUCCCCGGAUGAGUGCACCUGAAGAAAAAGCAUCGGCUAACUCCGUGCCAGCAGCCGCGGUAAUACGGAGGAUGCGAGCGUUAUCCGGAUUUAUUGGGUUUAAAGGGUGCGCAGGCGGUCUGUUAAGUCAGCGGUAAAAGCCCGGGGCUCAACCCCGGCCCGCCGUUGAAACUGGCAGUCUCGAGCUGGAGAGAAGUAUGCGGAAUGCGCGGUGUAGCGGUGAAAUGCAUAGAUAUCGCGCAGAACUCCGAUUGCGAAGGCAGCAUGCCGGCUCCACACUGACGCUGAGGCACGAAAGCGUGGGUAUCGAACAGGAUUAGAUACCCCUGUAGUC
rnacentral:rRNA from 1 species